rnacentral:rRNA from 1 species
CCUACGGGUGGCAGCAGUGAGGAAUAUUGGUCAAUGGGCGGAAGCCUGAACCAGCCAAGUCGCGUGAGGGAUUAAGGCCCUGCGGGUCGUAAACCUCUUUUGCCGGGGAGCAGUGGUCCGGACGCGUCCCGACCGGGAGAGUACCCGGAGAAAAAGCAUCGGCUAACUCCGUGCCAGCAGCCGCGGUAAUACGGAGGAUGCGAGCGUUAUCCGGAUUUAUUGGGUUUAGAGGGUGCGUAGGCGGGCAUUUAAGCCGGCGGUCAAAUGUCGGGGCUCAACCCCGGCCUGCCGUCGGAACUGGGUGGCUUGAGUGGGCGAGAAGUAUGCGGAAUGCGUGGUGUAGCGGUGAAAUGCAUAGAUAUCACGCAGAACCCCGAUUGCGAAGGCAGCAUACCGGCGCCCGACUGACGCUGAGGCACGAAAGUGUGGGGAUCGAACAGGAUUAGAUACCCUAGUAGUC